rnacentral:rRNA from 1 species
CCUACGGGAGGCAGCAGUAGGGAAUCUUCCACAAUGGGCGAAAGCCUGAUGGAGCAACGCCGCGUGGGUGAAGAAGGUCUUCGGAUCGUAAAACCCUGUUGUUAGAGAAGAAAGUGCGUGAGAGUAACUGUUCACGUUUCGACGGUAUCUAACCAGAAAGCCACGGCUAACUACGUGCCAGCAGCCGCGGUAAUACGUAGGUGGAAAGCGUUAUCCGGAUUUAUUGGGCUUAAAGGGAACGCAGGCUGUCUUUUAAGUCUGAUGUGAAAGCCUUCGGCUUAACAGGAGUAGUGCAUUGGAAACUGGGAGACUUGAGUGCAGAAGAGGAGAGUGGAAGUCCAUGUGU